rnacentral:rRNA from 1 species
GCCAUGCAUGUCUAAGGUACACACGAAAUUAAAAGUGAAACCGCAAAAGGCUCAUUAUAUCAGUUAUGGUUCCUUAGAUUGUUAACAGUUACUUGGAUAACUGUGGUAAUUCUAGAGCUAAUACAUGCAAUAUAAAUUGUGGAACGUGUGCUUUUAUUAGACAAAAACCAAGUGUUAAAAUUUGGUUGAACUCUAGAUAACUUGCUGAUCGUAUGGUCUCGUACCGACGACAGAUCUUUCAAAUGUCUGCCCUAUCAACUUUUGAUGGUAGUAUAUUGGACUACCAUGGUUGCUACGGGUAACGGGGAAUCAGGGUUCGAUUCCGGAGAGGGAGCCUGAGAAACGGCUACCACAUCUAAGGAAGGCAGCAGGCGCGUAAAUUACCCACUCCCAGCUCGGGGAGGUAGUGACGAAAAAUAACAAUACAGGACUCAUUUUAGAGGCAUUGUAAUUGGAAUGAGUACACUUUAAACCCUUUAACAAGGACCUAUUGGAGGGCAAGCCUAGUGCCAGCAGCCGCGGUAACUCUAGCUCCAAUAGCGUAUAUUAAAGUUGUUGCGGUUAAAACGUUCGUAGUUGAAUUUGUGCUUCAUACGGGUAGUAUCGAUUAUAAAUGUAGUCGAUUACUAUACCUUAUGUAUGUAAGCGUAUUACCGGUGGAGAAAAACCCAUUUCGGUGCUCUUUAUCGGGUGUUGUUGUGGGCCGGUACAAUUACUUUGAACAAAUUAGAGUGCUUCAAGCAGGCUAUGAAAUGCCUGAAUAUUUUGUGCAUGGAAUAAUGAAAUAAGACCUCUGUUCUACUUUCAUUGGUUUUUAGAUCGAAAGAGGUAAUGAUUAAUAGAAGCAGUUUGGGGGCAUUAGUAUUACGACGCGAGAGGUGAAAUUCUUGGACCGUCGUAAGACUAACUUAAGCGAAAGCAUUUGCCAAAGAUGUUUUCAUUAAUCAAGAACGAAAGUUAGAGGUUCGAAGGCGAUCAGAUACCGCCCUAGUUCUAACCAUAAACGAUGCCAGCUAGCAAUUGGGUGUAGCUAAGAUUAUGGCUCUCUCAGUCGCUUCCCGGGAAACCAAAGCUUUUGGGCUCCGGGGGAAGUAUGGUUGCAAAGCUGAAACUUAAAGGAAUUGACGGAAGGGCACCACCAGGAGUGGAGCCUGCGGCUUAAUUUGACUCAACACGGGAAAACUUACCAGGUCCGAACAUAAGCGUGUAAGACAGAUUGAUAGCUCUUUCUCGAAUCUAUGGGUGGUGGUGCAUGGCCGUUCUUAGUUCGUGGAGUGAUUUGUCUGGUUAAUUCCGAUAACGAACGAGACUCAAAUAUAUUAAAUAGAUGCUUGCAGGAUUAUGGUGUUGAAACUUUUAUAGCCUUCAUUCAUGUUGUGGAAUGUGUUUUAUAGAAGUGGAGCCGUACCUGUUGGUUUGUCCUAAAUAUUCUUUAUAGAGGGAUACUUAGCUUCUUAAAUGGACAAAUUGCGUCUAGCAAUAAUGAGAUUGAGCAAUAACAGGUCUGUGAUGCCCUAAGAUGUCCUGGGCUGCACGCGCGCUACAAUGAAAGUAUCAACGUAUAUAUCCUAGACUGAGAGGUCCGGGUAAACCGCUGAAACACUUUCAUGCUUGGGAUUGUGGACUGCAACUGUUCACAUUAACUUGGAAUUCCCAGUAAGUGCGAGUCAUUAGCUCGCAUUGAUUACGUCCCUGCCCUUUGUACAUACCGCCCGUCGCUACUACCGAUUGAAUAUUUAGGUGAGGUCUCCGGACGUGAUCACUGUAACGACGACGUUAGCUGUUGUGUUACGGAUGUAUCGCUAAAG